rnacentral:rRNA from 1 species
UAGGGAAUCUUCGGCAAUGGGGGCAACCCUGACCGAGCAACGCCGCGUGAGUGAAGAAGGUUUUCGUAUCGUAAAGCUCUGUUGUAAGAGAAGAACGUGUGUGAGAGUGGAAAGUUCACACAGUGACGGUAACUUACCAGAAAGGGACGGCUAACUACGUGCCAGCAGCCGCGGUAAUACGUAGGUCCCGAGCGUUGUCCGGAUUUAUUGGGCGUAAAGCGAUCGCAGGCGGUUUAAUAAGUCUGAAGUUAAAGGCAGUGGCUUAACCAUUGUUCGCUUUGGAAACUGUUAAACUUGAGUGCAGAAGGGGAGAGUGGAAUUCCAUGUGUAGCGGUGAAAUGCGUAGAUAUAUGGAGGAACACCGGUGGCGAAAGCGGCUCUCUGGUCUGUAACUGACGCUGAGGCUCGAAAGCGUGGGGAGCAAACAGG